UCUGUAUGUAAGGAUAUGAGUGAGAGAGGGCUGCCAGAGGACUGGAGCACAACUAAUGUGGUACCAUCAUUCAAGAAUGGAGAGGUGCCAUAUAGAGAUGGUGAGAGGGCAAGAAGAUCCUUCACCCUGCAACUUUUGGGAUUUGGCAAAAGAAAACAGUUCACUAAAGCAUUUUAUUCAUUUUCAGGCCAUCUUGCAGAAUUGGAUGAGCGGUCUUAUCUUUAAACAUCCUUCUGAAAACUUUUUAAAAAUUGAGUAGCUUUCCCACUAUGCCAGUUAAACUUAAUUAAUACAAAUUAUUCCCAAUGUAUUUACCAGAAAUAAAUG